GUCUUUCCUGUAGGUUGGGCUCACUGGAGGCUGACUCAGAAAGGAUCAGAGUACAGGAAGUUUAUUAGAGAGUGCAGUCAAAAUUACAAGCAGAAAAAAAAAGUGCAGAUAAAGGACCAGGCAGCUGGAAAAGCAGUGCAGCAGUUCAGUCACAAUAAGGUUGUAGCCAACUGCUUGGGAAGCUCUGCAGUUGGAUGGCUCUUCAGAGUUGUCGCUUAUUGUGAUGCGGGGUUUCUACACUUUUAUAUCAACUAGUCAUUGAUAGAGGCUUCUCUGAAAAGGAGACAUGACUUUGAACCAUGCAGUUCUCUCCAGUCAAGGACAAUUCUCUGAAAUAACUUAUGUAACUGGAGGCUGAAGCCAAAGACUGUUACAGGCUACAGGAGGUGCCCCCUGUGGGGGCGGAGCGGGGAUUCCUGGUGAGGAUAGAUAGCCCCAAGGAAAAUGCAAGCAAAGUAUAGGUGGGGGUAGAGACUAAUAAGAAACCUAAAGGACUGUAGAAGUCCCCAGGAUUGAGUGUUCAGGAUUCAGCUUUUGGGAUUUUCAGUGUUUUCAGAUCUUCAGUGAUUUCGGAGUCAGCAAUUUCUACCCCCACCAUGCCAAUCUUCCAGAAGCCUGUUCUGGGCCUCUGAAGGACUUUCAGAGGCUUCCAGCAGCCAACCUCAGAGAAGAAAAGUUUGGAGGCUUUGCAAGUAUCCGAGCAACUCACACUGUUUACAGUUUUGCUGCUGUUAAGAGCCUGGCAGGGAAGGUGAAGAUCCAGAGCUGGGUGCCUUGCAGAACUGCAUGAGUGCGGGCCACUUACUGCAUUGAUUGGCUGCUGCAGCUGCUGUUUCCUGUGUUGCUUCUCUGGUGCUGUGCUGGCUUAUCUCUGUAGCUCCGGGUGGUCCCCAGGAAAGGAGGAGGUUCCAGGUUCCCUGCCCCACCCAAAUGGAGGGUGGAGCUGAGCAGGGAGAGAAGAAGCUGCAGAGGAGACUGAGGAAGGAAGCAGGAUGGAGACAGGAGACCUGGAGGAGGCACAUGGAGCCUAGAGACACGUGAAGAAACUGCGCUUCUCUUUUGGUCUUGGACGGGGUGACACAGAUGUGGGUGAGACCCGUGGGGAGUGAUUAUGAACGCCUGUGCCUCUUUUGAAAUCGAUUAAAGAAAGGUAAGUUUGCUAAUAGAAGAUGACAUAGAAUCUUUUGACAAUUUGCUAUGUGUCCUGCACAUGCUGGACUAAGAUGUACGCUUAUAAAAUUCUGUUGCAACACUUUAGAUGGAUGUAUUCUGUUGGUGUUAACAGAUAAACAGCACUCAGCUAAAAUGUACCUUGUACAGCAAAUAAAAAAAAAAGGAAGCUUGCAGAUAAGUAAUUAAUUUCAGGGAAAAAAUAUGAGUAGUCUAGAAAAUAAACUUUGCUAAAGAUUUCAGCAGAAAUGUGGCAUUACAAUGUGUACAGAAAGGAUUUUAAAAAUCUUAUUUUUGUUAAAUAACAAGUAGAAAUUAAGCAACAAUAGGUUAUAUGUGCACAGAACAAAUAAUGAGACAAACCAGAAGCCCACUUUUGUUAUUUAACUAGGUUUGGUAGACAAAAACAAUUACAAUGGUACUUGUUUAAACAUCUCACCAUACUCCAAGAAGAGUUGGAAAAUCAAGGCACAGAACUUCAUUCAGGGUCCAUUGAAGAAGUUGUGAACAUUCUAGAAGACAGCCAUUAAUAUGAUUUAGCUAUUAUAGUUUCUAAUAAAACAUUUCUUACUUUUGAAUUUCAGUUAGUCAGCAGUAAUUGGGACUAUCUUAAACUCAGUUAGGUGCCCAUUCCUAGAUCAAAGCAUGAUAGGCACUAGGUGGGAUCAUGUCAUUCUCACGUGGGAAAGCCUUUUUAAUAAAUGGUGUGGAAGUGAGAGGCAAUUUAUUGAAGGAAAGACUAUCUCAACAACCACUUACUUGCUGAAUUAACUGCUAGUGUCCAAAUUGGGGCUGGAUUCUGUUUAUUCUAUGGUAGGCCAAUAUCACAGGUGUGUGCGUGUGCGUGUGUGUGUUGAAAUCUGAGUAAAACAUUGAGAUGAAUAUUAAAAUAAGAUAAAUUCCCAUCUGUUUGGAAUGGAACAAUUUAAAACAUGUUUCUUUACUAAGUUAAGAAAACCAUAUAAUUUAUAUGAUUACAAAAUAAUUUCCCCAGUAUACCAGAAUUGAAAUGAAAGACAGCCUGCUUCCCAAAUAAAAUGUGGUGUGAGUAUAUAUUUGUACAUUGAUGUGUGAGUGUAUGUUUGUAUU